AGUGAACGCUGGCGGCGUGCCUAAUACCUGCAAGUCGAACGGAGUGGCGCACGGGUGAGUAAUGUAGAGCUAAUCUGCCAUACACUCGAGGACAAAAGUUGGAAACGACUGCUAAUACUCUAUAGUGUAGGAUGAGGCUAUAUUGUAUCAGCUAGUUGGUGAGGUAAUGGCUCACCAAGGCUAUGACGCAUAACUGGACUGAGAGGAUGAUCAGUCACCCGGGAACUGAGACACGGUCCAGCCUCCGACGUGAGGCAGCCGUAGGGAAUAUUGCUCCAUGGGGGAAACCCUGAAGCAGCAACGCCUCGUGGAGGAUGACACUGUUCGGAGCGUAAACUCCUUUUGGUAGGGAAGCGGUACCUAACGAAUAAGCACCGGCUAACUCCGUGCCAGCAGCCGCGGUAAUUC
rnacentral:rRNA from 1 species